AGAGUUUGAUCAUGGCUCAGGAUGAACGCUGGCGGCGUGCCUAAUACAUGCAAGUCGAACGGGGGUGCAGCGAUGUACCCCAGUGGCGACCGGGUGCGUAACACGUAGCUGACCUGCCCCUCAGCGGGGGACAACAGCCCGAAAGGGCUGCUAAUACCGCAUACGCUCACCGGGUUUAGAAACCGGCGAGGAAACUCACGGGGCUGAGGGAGGGGGCUGCGGCCCAUCAGGUAGUUGGUGCGGUAGCGGCGCACCAAGCCGACGACGGGUAGGGGGCCUGAGAGGGCAACCCCCCACACUGGGACUGACAGACGGCCCAGACUCCUACGGGAGGCAGCAGUAAGGGAUAUUGCGCAAUGGGCGAAAGCCUGACGCAGCAACGCCGCGUGGAGGAUGACGGCCUUCGGGUCGUAAACUCCUUUGGCUGGGGACGAGCAAGGACGGUACCCAGCAAACAAGUCACGGCUAACUACGUGCCAGCAGCCGCGGUAAAACGUAGGUGGCGAGCGUUAUCCGGAUUUACUGGGCGUAAAGGGUGUGCAGGCGGGGUCUCAAGUGGUGUGUGAAAUCGCCCGGCUCAACCGGGCGAGGUCAGGCCAGACUGAGGCUCUGGAGUGCGGGAGAGGGGCGUGGAAUUCCGGGUGUAGUGGUGAAAUGCGUAGAGAUCCGGAGGAACCCCAGAGGCGAAGGCGGCGCCCUGGCCCGACACUGACGCUCAGACACGACAGCAUGGGGAGCGAACGGGAUUAGAAACCCCGGUAGUCCAUGCCGUAAACGAUGCCGACUAGGCGCUGGGGGUCUCAACCCCCUCGGUGCCGCAGCUAACGCGCUAAGUCGGCCGCCUGGGGAGUACGGUCGCAAGGCUAAAACUCAAAUGAAUUGACGG
rnacentral:rRNA from 1 species